GGUGACUGCACCUGAGAUCCCGGUUGAAGCGAGCUUAGGAAAUUGUUUCCCUAUUUUCUUUCUAUUAAGAGGCUUGGGGAGGGAGUUAUAAAACCAACAACGGACACGAUAGUAGCUGAAUGUCACAGCUUACAAAACGUUGUCCUAGGCAUUUCCUCUAAGUUAAUAUUUAUUCAACAAAUAUUCAUCAAGAGCUUUCAUGAAUGCCAUUCAUUCUGUGGGUGCUGGACUCAUAUUAUCUCAUUCGAACAACUGCCUUUGAAGAAAUUCUGGCUCCAGCCUUUAAGGAGUUUGUAUACUCAUUUGAUUCUCAGAGUUUUGUGAAGUCUGCAUCAUUACAAUGUACAUUCAAGGGUUCAGGAACUUCAGGUGCUUAUUGGUGCAUGUUGAUUUCACCUAUUAUAUUUAAAAUGUCCUGAUAGCGGAGACCAUUUCAUCUCUGCACUUCUCUAGCAGAAUGUCUUGCAUGUGAUAUAAGUACAAGAAAUGUUUGGUGAAUUGGUUUGAAUUGAACAUGUGAUUUAGAUAAUAAGUGCUAUAGGAUUUCAGAGGAAGGAGUGAUUCAUUCCAUUCUGGAGGAUUCAUGGAGAUUUAAACUGGACUGGUAAAGGAUCAAGAGAUUUCUUUGUAAGUUAAUUUUCAGAAGAGAGGAAUCAAAUUAGAGCAAAGAACAUGGGCAAAUGCAGUUUGAAUUCCGCUGGAGUUAUCCUCUGGACUCUAGGAGGCACAUAAUUAGAGAGGUGUAUAUACUAGUCUCGGUUAUUUGCCUCCUCUUUGGCCAACCAUCUUUCCCUUCACCUUGGAAAGCUUCAGGAGGAGCUAUCAGUUAAGCGUCUUAUUCCCGAUCUAUAAGGAUGGACAAAAAAAAUCAGGUUGACCAACCUGGCUUCACCAAUUGUCCUGGGAAGGGCAGAUGUCCAAUCGCAAUCACCCCUAAGAUGACAUAAUCAGGUCUGGGAGAAAGAGUCUUCAUUUUGGAUCAUGGACCAUGACAUUUUCCAACCAAGUGGAAAGAAUCUGAUAAUGAAGCCAAUGAAUAGAGAAAGACAAACAAGCAUUAUGUGGGACCCUCUCUCCAAAAUUUCACAGCUUCCCAGUUACAUUAGAGAAGAGUUUCUCCUCUCUUGCACGAUUGCUCACCCGAUUGCUUUCUCACUCGCUGGUUUGUAUUUCAUUUCUG
rnacentral:lncRNA from 1 species